rnacentral:rRNA from 1 species
GACGAACGCUGGCGGCGUGCUUAACACAUGCAAGUCGAACGAUGAUCCGGUGCUUGCACCGGGGAUUAGUGGCGAACGGGUGAGUAACACGUGAGUAACCUGCCCUUGACUCUGGGAUAAGCCUGGGAAACCGGGUCUAAUACCGGAUACGACCUUUCACCGCAUGGUGGUUGGUGGAAAGAUUUUUUGGUUUUGGAUGGACUCGCGGCCUAUCAGCUUGUUGGUGAGGUAAUGGCUCACCAAGGCGACGACGGGUAGCCGGCCUGAGAGGGUGACCGGCCACACUGGGACUGAGACACGGCCCAGACUCCUACGGGAGGCAGCAGUGGGGAAUAUUGCACAAUGGGCGAAAGCCUGAUGCAGCGACGCCGCGUGAGGGAUGACGGCCUUCGGGUUGUAAACCUCUUUCAGCAGGGAAGAAGCGAAAGUGACGGUACCUGCAGAAGAAGCGCCGGCUAACUACGUGCCAGCAGCCGCGGUAAUACGUAGGGCGCAAGCGUUGUCCGGAAUUAUUGGGCGUAAAGAGCUCGUAGGCGGUUUGUCGCGUCUGCUGUGAAAGCCCGGGGCUCAACCCCGGGUCUGCAGUGGGUACGGGCAGACUAGAGUGCAGUAGGGGAGACUGGAAUUCCUGGUGUAGCGGUGAAAAUGCGCAGAUAUCAGGAGGAACACCGAUGGCGAAGGCAGGUCUCUGGGCUGUAACUGACGCUGAGGAGCGAAAGCAUGGGGAGCGAACAGGAUUAGAUACCCUGGUAGUCCAUGCCGUAAACGUUGGGCACUAGGUGUGGGGGACAUUCCACGUUUUCCGCGCCGUAGCUAACGCAUUAAGUGCCCCGCCUGGGGAGUACGGCCGCAAGGCUAAAACUCAAAGGAAUUGACGGGGGCCCGCACAAGCGGCGGAGCAUGCGGAUUAAUUCGAUGCAACGCGAAGAACCUUACCAAGGCUUGACAUGGACCGGACCGCCGCAGAAAUGCGGUUUCCCUUCGGGGCUGGUUUACAGGUGGUGCAUGGUUGUCGUCAGCUCGUGUCGUGAGAUGUUGGGUUAAGUCCCGCAACGAGCGCAACCCUCGUUCUAUGUUGCCAGCGCGUUAUGGCGGGGACUCAUAGGAGACUGCCGGGGUCAACUCGGAGGAAGGUGGGGACGACGUCAAAUCAUCAUGCCCCUUAUGUCUUGGGCUUCACGCAUGCUACAAUGGCCGGUACAAAGGGUUGCGAUACUGUGAGGUGGAGCUAAUCCCAAAAAGCCGGUCUCAGUUCGGAUUGAGGUCUGCAACUCGACCUCAUGAAGUCGGAGUCGCUAGUAAUCGCAGAUCAGCAACGCUGCGGUGAAUACGUUCCCGGGCCUUGUACACACCGCCCGUCAAGUCACGAAAGUUGGUAACACCCGAAGCCGGUGGCCUAACCCCUUGUGGGAGGGAGCCGUCGAAGGUGGGACCGGCGAUUGGGACU